rnacentral:misc_RNA from 1 species
GAAAUGCGAUAAGUAAUGUGAAUUGCAGAAUUCAGUGAAUCAUCGAAUCUUUGAACGCACCUUGCGCUCCUUGGUAUUCCUUGGAGCAUGCCUGUUUGAGUAUCAUGAAAUCUUCAAAGUAAAUGUUUUGUUAACUCAAUUGGUUUCUACUUUGGUAUUGGAGGUCUUUGCAGCUUCACACCUGCUCCUCUUUGUUCAUUAGCUGGAUCUCAGUGUUAUGCUUGGUUCCACUCGGCGUGAUAAGUUAUCUAUCGCUGAGGACACUGUAAAAGGUGGCCAAGGUAAAUGCAGAUGAACCGCUUCUAAUAGUCCAUUGACUUGGACAAUACUUUUAUGAUCUGAUCUCAAAUCAGGUAGGACUACCCGCUGAACUUAGGC